UACGUAGGGUGCGAGCGUUGUCCGGAAUUAUUGGGGCGUAAAGAGCUCGUAGGCGGUUUGUCACGUCUGCUGUGAAAUCCCGAGGCUCAACCUCGGGCCUGCAGUGGGUACGGGCAGACUGGAGUGCGGUAGGGGAGAAUGGAAUUCCUGGUGUAGCGGUGGAAUGCGCAGAUAUCAGGAGGAACACCGAUGGCGAAGGCAGGUCUCUGGGCCAUAACUGACGCUGAGAAGCGAAAGCAUGGGGAGCGAACAGG
rnacentral:rRNA from 1 species